UACGAAGGACCCGAGCGUUAUCCGGAUUUAUUGGGUUUAAAGGGUGCGUAGGCGGACUUAUAAGUCAGUGGUGAAAUCUCCCAGCUCAACUGGGAAACUGCCAUUGAAACUGUUUGUCUUGAGUACAUUUGAGGCGGGCGGAAUGUGUCAUGUAGAGGUGAAAUUCUUAGAUAUGACACAGAACACCAAUUGCGAAGGCAGCUCGCUAAACUGUAACUGACGCUGAGGCACGAAAGCGUGGGGAUCAAACAGG
rnacentral:rRNA from 1 species